UGGGGAAUAUUGCACAAUGGGCGAAAGCCUGAUGCAGCAACGCCGCGUGAGUGAUGACGGUCUUCGGAUCGUAAGGCUCUGUCUUUGGGGACGAUAAUGACGGUACCCAAGGAGGAAGCCACGGCUAACUACGUGCCAGCAGCCGCGGUAAUACGUAGGUAGCAAGCGUUGUCCGGAUUUACUGGGCGUAAAGGGUGCGUAGGCGGACCUUUAAGUGAGAUGUGAAAUCCCCGAGCUUAACUUGGGGGCUGCAUUUCAAACUGGAGGUCUAGAGUGCAGGAGAGGAGAGUGGAAUUCCUAGUGUAGCGGUGAAAUGCGUAGAGAUUAGGAAGAACACCAGUGGCGAAGGCGACUCUCUGGACUGUAACUGACGCUGAGGCACGAAAGCGUGGGGAGCAAACAG
rnacentral:rRNA from 1 species